CCUUGUCAGCUCGGUGAUUCAAUCCAGCAACCUUUCGGUUACUGGCCCGACGCUCUAACCACCAGGCUACCUGCUUCCCCAAAGGUAGACUCAGUGAGGUGAUAAAAUGUACGAAUGUAAACCGUGGUAGUGGUUCAAUUUCCGCAACAACCAGGAGCGUUGAAGCACGACUCUAAACUUCUCAGCUGUUUUGGUCCCGUAGCUACCACGCAGACUGCAAAAAGAAGCCUCAAACGCACAGCGAAGUUGAUACUGUCUGUGUUAUUGAAGAAUAACAUCAACUGCUAACACUUGGUGCCAUGACCCGGGUGAAUUUGUCGUGACCAACAACAAGGAACAACUCAUCAACUGUGUGUUGAUCCAGGGGAAAGAGAGAGGGCUGAGCGCAACCCACCACAGUUAACUCUUAAUCUCCCGAUUGAUGACAUAUCAUAUUCCUGGAUUAUGAGAAUCUACUGUCUGAAGCUGAAGCAAUAUCCCUUAACCCAAGGACUGUACUUGAAACGAUACAAGAUCACUGGUGAAGUGUUCAUUGGAGACGUCCUCAUCAACCAGUGGAACGGAAGAACAAUUCCUCACUACCGGCACACUGUCAGAACAUAAUUUCUAAUAGUUAUCUAUGUGGGACUGAUACCAGUGUGGAAGAGCAGGUCACUUUUAAAGGACUAUGUGAAUGAUUACCUUGACAAUAGGACGACUGAAUAUUAUUGUCUCGAGGACAAGUGAAAGAUGUUUGAAAUUAUUUCCUCUUUAUACAGGAUGUGGGUGGUGUUUCCAUUUCGAACACAGAGAUGCAUCAGCAGGAUGAGGGACACUCGGGCGUCAGUACGUUUCUAGCCCGUUCUCUACACUAUGCCGCAGACAAACAUGGGGUACAUGUGCUGUUAUUGGUGCCGAAUGCUGUACUUACAUUCCUGAUAAUUCUGAGGAAAUAACUGACCUAAUCCAAAAGAUCAGGACCGAGGUCGCUAAAUAUCAUGAUUACAAUCCAGAUGAUUUAGGUUUAGUCAUGUGGUUGUCUUCCACAUUUGGCACACGGGGAAGUUUUUGGGUGAGCAUGAUACUCCCAAUAGUGGGAGUUGUGUUUAUUUUACUUAUCCUCAUCCAGGCUAUCAAGUGUGCUAUUGCCCGAUGUUUGUCUGCUAAAAUCCCACGGUUACGUGAUAGGGGAUAUCAUAAGAUUCAUCAACCGUCUGGGUUAUCGAAGAAUAACAUCAACUGCUACCACUAUAUUAACCUUGGUUACAGCAAAGAUUUUUGUCCUUUUGAUGUUGAAAGUGUAACAGGGUUAUAUUGGUGAUUCCCCUUGCCACUUUAUUGUUAAGCCAAUGGGUUUUUGGUUUUAGUUUUGUCUUGCCUUCACCUACUCAACAUGGCAUC